rnacentral:rRNA from 1 species
CAGUCGCCGCGGGUAAUACGUAGGGUGCAAGCGUUAAUCGGAAUUACUGGGCGUAAAGCGUGCGCAGGCGGUUAUAUAAGACAGAUGUGAAAUCCCCGGGCUCAACCUGGGAACUGCAUUUGUGACUGUAUAGCUAGAGUACGGCAGAGGGGGAUGGAAUUCCGCGUGUAGCAGUGAAAUGCGUAGAUAUGCGGAGGAACACCGAUGGCGAAGGCAAUCCCCUGGGCCUGUACUGACGCUCAUGCACGAAAGCGUGGGGAGCAAACAGGAUUAGAUACCCCUGUAGUCCCUGUCUCUUAUA